UACGUAGGGGGCAAGCGUUGUCCGGAAUUAUUGGGCGUAAAGAGCGUGUAGGCGGUCCGGUAAGUCGGCUGUGAAAGUCCAGGGCUCAACCCUGGGAUGCCGGUCGAUACUGCCGGACUAGAGUUCGGUAGGGGAGACUGGAAUUCCUGGUGUAGCGGUGAAAUGCGCAGAUAUCAGGAGGAACACCUAUAGCGAAGGCAGCUUGCUGGGACGAUACUGACGCUAAGGCUCGAAAGCGUGGGGAGCGAACAGG
rnacentral:rRNA from 1 species